rnacentral:lncRNA from 1 species
AUGGUGAAACCAUCUGCUUUUCUGAAGCCAUGUACUUCUGGGUGCAGGACUCUCAGAAAGGCUCAAGGACUUCAGUUCAGGGCCCUGUGUAACAAUCAGCAGUUGUCCAAAGUCUGGCUGACCCUGAGCUCCCCAAUGUCUACCGCACCGUGGAAGGCUGCAGCAACAAGAUUCUGAGCAGGAAUGAGGCAGGACAACUGUCCUCGAGGCAGGGUCCUAGGAGGCACCGUGUGAAAAGCACCAGGGUUAUAUCCUGCUUGUGGUUUUGUACACGAACAUAAAUGGUACUAACCAGUGAGAAGGACCUGUACACGGAGCACAUUGAAAUAGCUGCUUACCAGCUUUCCUUGAUCACCCCGGUGAGUUGAACAGUCGGUGGAUUAAAUGAUUUUAGCCUUCUGUGAAGAGAGAGUUGGUGGUUUAAAAGUGAGGGAAGUCUGCUUGUGUAUUUUGAAGUUAUGAAUAGUAUUUGUAAACUUCCUGGGAGUUAGAGGCAAAGAGGCCGGAUAGGAAGUAGAGAGAGGAGAUGAUUCAUUAGCUCGCCAGUAGGGAGGGAGGCAGCAAAGCUGGGAUAUCAGAUAUGGGAACCCAGGCCGACUUCGGAGGAUAGCAUUCUCAUCUGCCUGUCUGCUAGGAGUGUUCUGGUCAGACUUUAAGGAAGAGAAACUAUUGCAAAGAGCCCAAUCUAGCGAUUUUACAAAGGCUGAUUAAUCGUUAUAGCAGCAAAUACCUCACUGAUAGAGAAAACCGGUGUGAUUGUGGUUAGUUAUUAUAAUUCUACGGGCAUGAUGUUCACUGUUUUAUUCCUUCUUCAAAGUCUAGCUAUUUGAAGUAUGUUUAAAGUUUAUUAUAACAUUUUAUUAGGAAAUUGCAUUUACUUUUUGCCAGUAUGAAGCAAAAGUAAUAACUCAUUUUGAAUUAGUUUACCCUACUAGAAAUAGAUUGUGACAAAAUAUUAAUCAAUAAUAGCUAUUUUAAAAUAAAAUAGUUAAAAAAAUUGCA